UGAAGCUGCAGGUGUCUGGCUCUUCACAGAAGCAGUUGGCCAACCUCUGGUCUCCUACAGUGCUGGGGAUCUGUGUGCAUUUGUAGAUGGGGUGAAAACUUUCCGCCUCCUCUAUUCCCCCUGCACUUCUGCCCUGUUCUUCGAUUCCACAGGGCCACAGUCUUUAACCGAGAUGCUUGUGUGUCCAUUUCACGCUGCUCUGUCUUAGACUAAUUGUUCCCAUUUUUCUGUCUACUUCCCUCCCAGUCCCCAGCCAGGAUGAAAGGAGGCCCAGGAGUCAACCCAAAGACCCAGUUGUCAAACGGAGACCUGAGGAAACAGAACCCGAGCAAGUAACUCCACAGACUUCUGAUGACAGAGAUGAGGACGAAAAGGAGGAGAAGAGGCGCAAAACUACACCCAAAGAACCAACUGAGAAAAAAGUGGCUCGGACCAAAACCGUGGUAAACGCCAAGGCCCAGCCGCCCAGGUGUGUCCAGUGUGGCCAGUACCUGGACGACGUCGACCUUAAGUACGAGCAGCACCCUCCUGAUGCACUGGAGGAGCCUCAGAUGCUGACCAAUGAGAAGCUGUCCAUCUUUGACGCCAAUGAGUCUGGCUUUGAGAGUUAUGAGGCCUUCCCCCAGCACAAGCUGACGUGCUUCAGUGUGUACUGUAAGCGAGGUCACCUGUGCCCGAUUGACACUGGCCUGAUUGAGAAGAAUGUCGAGCUCUUCUUUUCUGGCUCAGCCAAACCAACUAUGAGGACAACCCAUC